UUAACAGCCUAUGGAAUUCUUUGUCUGG
rnacentral:piRNA from 1 species